rnacentral:ncRNA from 1 species
GAAAGCCGUAUGCUUUGGAAGAAGCUUGUACAGUUUGGGAAGGGGUUUUGAUUGAUAAAAAAAAAGACUCUACUUCAAC